GACGAACGCUGGCGGCGUGCUUAACACAUGCAAGUCGAACGGAAAGGCCCCUUUGGGGGUACUCGAGUGGCGAACGGGUGAGUAACACGUGAGUAACCUGCCCUUGACUUCGGGAUAACUUCAGGAAACUGGGGCUAAUACCGGAUAGGAAUCCUUGCUGCAUGGGGGGGGUUGGAAAGCUUCGGCGGUUUUGGAUGGACUCGCGGCUUAUCAGCUUGUUGGUGGGGUAGUGGCUUACCAAGGCGUUGACGGGUAGCCGGACUGAGAGGGCGACCGGCCGCAUUGGGACUGAGAUACGGCCCCGACUCCUACGGGAGGCAGCAGUGGGGAAUAUUGCACAAGGGGCGGAAGCCUGAUGCAGCAACGCCGCGUGCGGGAUGACGGCCUUCGGGUUGUAAACCGCUUUCAGCAGGGGCGAAGCUUGUGGUGACGGUACCUGCAGAAGAAGCACCGGCUAACUACGUG
rnacentral:rRNA from 1 species